rnacentral:siRNA from 1 species
UCGCCUUGUCUAAUUCCCCUUGU